CCCAUGGUUGCCUCCUGGAACUUGAAGAGCGUGGAAAUGACUACAGAGAUUCACUACUGCUCAAGAUGCAGAGAACGGGUAACUGUGGUGUGCCCAGUGCCCACUGGUGUAUCUCCAACCAACCCCUACACCCAAGGCUCAGGGAAGAUCUAUAUAGAGGAGGGAGAAGGAAGGAAAAAAUAAGCUGGUAUGUAUUCCGGUGAAUGCAGGAAAUUAUCACUAGAAAGUAGCUUUAACAGAAUGGAUUAGGAAAGUGAUGACCUUUUGGCAAGGACCUGUAAAUGUGGUCAAGAAAUGGGCGCACCCUGCUAGAAGAAAGCAUCCUCCUACAUUGCCUUCAAGAGCAGUUCCUCAGAAUCAACACUAGUAAAAUUCACAACCAGAGAAGGACUCAACAUUGCUGUCCACCAGUCUCUUCCAGAUAAAGGUCUCACUGUGUGCUCCACUGCUCUCCAAUUCUGCUUCAGCCCCCCAGGGCUGGGAUCGCAGUUACAAAUCCACAUAAAGGGAACGAGGCGGUACACAGCUUUCAUAAUUGCGUGCGGAGGCGUGUAAGGAGCUGUGGAAGGCGGCUGCGCACCAUUCCUGCGGGAAGCACUCUGUGUCUUCUACCUGAAGUCAACUUGGACACGCCUGUCAACCUCAAGAGCCUGGCCUUAUCAUACUUGGGCACAGUGACAGUGAUAGUUUGGUGUCAGGGCUUGUCAGAAUAACAAUUACCAACUCCAUGUUCCUGCUGCUAACGUUCACCCACACAGCACUGAGACAGAGUCUACGCUUAAGAAGUGGGGUCUGGACUGAACUCACUUGGUAACCAGGAAGGAUGCCCUUGACCUUUACGUGGAUGAGGCUCUAUGUGACUUCACAGAAAUUGGUUCUACGUAAAAACUAACUAAGCAUUAUAUAAUUCUGAUAUUGUAUAUUACAGUGUCCCUGAAAUGAUCAGUAAAGUAAACUGAUA
rnacentral:lncRNA from 1 species